rnacentral:rRNA from 1 species
UACGUAGGGGGCAAGCGUUGUCCGGAAUUAUUGGGCGUAAAGAGUUCGUAGGCGGUUUGCCAAGUCUGGUGUUAAAUACUGGAGCUCAACUCCAGCAUGGCAUCGGAAACUGGCAGGCUAGAGUAUGGUAGAGGCAAGGGGAAUUCCCGGUGUAGCGGUGAAAUGCGUAGAUAUCAGGAAGAACACCCGUGGCGAAGGCGGCUCUCUGGGACGGUACUGACGCUGAGACGCGAAAGCGUGGGGAGCGAACAGG